rnacentral:rRNA from 1 species
AUUGAACGCUGGCGGCAGGCCUAACACAUGCAAGUCGAGCGGAUGAAGGGAGCUUGCUCCUGGAUUCAGCGGCGGACGGGUGGGUAAUGCCUAGGAAUCUGCCUGGUCGUGGGGGAUAACGUCCGGAAACGGGCGCUAAUACCGCAUAGGUCCUGAGGGAGAAAGGGGGGGAUCUUCGGACCUAACGCUUUCAGAUGAGCCUAGGUGGGAUGAGCUAGUUGGUGGGGUAAAGGCCUACCAAGGCGACGAUCCGUAACUGGUCUGAGUGGGUGAACAGUCACACUGGAACUGAGACACGGUCCAGACUCCUACGGGAGGCAGCAGUGGGGAAUAUUGCGCAAUGGGCGAAAGCCUGAUCCAGCCAUGCCGCGUGAGUGAAGAAGGUCUUCGGAUUGUAAAGCACUGUAAGUUGGGAGGAAGGGAAGUAAGUUAAUACCUGGCUGUUUUGACGUUACCAACAGAAUAAGCCCCGGCUAACUUCGUG